rnacentral:tRNA from 1 species
GGGGUUGUAGCUCAGUGGUAAGGUACUGGCCCAGCAUGCCUGAUGCCCUGGGUUCAAUUCCCAGCACCACA